GGGAGUAUAGCUCAGUUGGUAGAGCGUCUGCCUUACAAGCAGAAUGUCAGCGGUUCGAGCCCGUUUACUCCCA
rnacentral:tRNA from 1 species